CAGAGGGUGCGAGCGUUAAUCGGAAUUACUGGGCGUAAAGCGCGCGUAGGCGGCUUUGCAAGUCGGGUGUGAAAUCCCCAGGCUUAACCUGGGAACUGCAUUCGAGACUGCAUUGCUAGAGUAUGGGAGAGGGAAGUGGAAUUUCCGGCGUAGCGGUGAAAUGCGUAGAUAUCGGAAGGAACAUCAGUGGCGAAAGCGACUUCCUGGACCAAUACUGACGCUCAUGUGCGAAAGCGUGGGGAGCAAACAGGAUUAGAUACCCUGGUAGUCCACGCCAUAAACGAUGACAACUGGAUGUCGGGAGGGUCUGCCUCUCGGUGUCGUAGCUAACGCGUUAAGUUGUCCGCCUGGGGAGUACGGCCGCAAGGUUG
rnacentral:rRNA from 1 species